ACAGAUGAAACUGUAUUGGAGUUGCAUUGUGCAUAUUAAGUUGUAUCGAUUGAUAGAUGGUAUACAUUAAGAAGAAGAUGCACGAUCAACAGGGAGGAAUACCUUAAUCGGAUUUGCAAGGGCAUGGUUGAAUGGGAGGAAAAAAAAAAUAAUACUUUGGUAUACAUUACGGUGUCGAGCAUGUUUCAAGAAUCUGCAAUAAUUCGAAUCGAUAAGUAUAAUUGGAUAAUGGAAAUCUGUGGAAUCAUCAGGAUUAAUGAGAUUAUAUUUUGUUUACAUUAUUUCGAAGAAAUCAUUUUUUGCCCGACGAUUAUAUAACAUUGUGUGUAUACGAUAUUGUUAUAAAAAGUAUUUGUUGGUUAUACUUCGAGAAGUGUGACGAUAUCGAUGAUAAAGAAUAAUAUUUCCUGAUAUCGAUCAAAUAAAUAAAUAAAUAAAUAAAAAAAAAAAAUACGCGAUUCAAUAAAUGUUUUUAAUAUGCGAUUGGAAAAAUUGGAUUAAAUGGGAUAAAAUUUGUUGUUUGUGUUACGAUUAAUAACUUGUUAUAGAUUAGUGUAUCGAGAAACGUUUAUACGUUUUCUUGAAUUAUUUUAUUUUCACUUUUUUUUCGCUGUUCUCUGUUUUCUUUUCGACUUCUUUGAAACUAGGUUUUGAUAUUGAAAACCAGCCGAAUAGUUUCCCCGAUUCAGAUAUUAGCGAAACCGGUUCGAUUUUACUUCUCACGCACGAAUGGGAUAUGUUUCAUUGCAGGAAAAAUUAUCUUCCACUUCCCGAACCGAUACAGCAACACUUUAUUUCCUGUCGUAGCCGGAUUAAACCGAUUUCGAUCGGUUUAUUCGAGUUAUACAACAAAUCGUAAUGCGACAUUCAAUCGAUUGUCCAAUUAACAACUUCCGUUAGAAGUUCUUUUUAUUCUUUUUUUUUUUUUUUUUUUAUUCUUCUCAAAUUACAGAAUGACGAAUCUUAAUUAAUCGAUUGAAAAAUUGAAUUAUUAUUGUUACAUCCAAUCCUUUGCUUCAGAUGUUUUCGCUAUUAGAUAUCGGUAAGUAAUUCAAAUUAGAUUAAUUGUGUGAAAAUAACGAGAAAUAUAAUUUUUUGGAAAGAGAUUCUAAAAUUAACUAAAAAUCUAAAUUGAAAUCGGUGAAUCGGUAUAGUUGUUUAUAAACUUUCUUCUAGGAAAUAUACGUAUA